AUGGUCACAUUAGCAACACAUAUAUUAACACUGGAAUAAUACGGAGAAGAUCACCAGACUCCUGUGUAAAGAUGGCAUGCAAAUGUGUGAAGGGCUUCAUACUUUU